GACAGAGGCCCCAAGCGUUAGGCGGAAUCACUGGGCUUAAAGCGUGUGUAGGCGGACGCCUAAGUGUCUUGUGAAAUCCCACGGCUCACCCGUGGAACUGCUGGGCAUACUGGGCGUCUUGGGCCAACUAGGGGCGGCCGGAACAAGCGGUGGAGCGGUGAAAUGCGUAGAUAUCGCUUGGAACGCCGAAGGUGAAAACAGGCUGCUGGGGUUGUGCCGACGCUGAGACACGAAAGCCAGGGGAGCAAACGGG
rnacentral:rRNA from 1 species